rnacentral:rRNA from 1 species
GUCUGGUGGGUAGUUUGACUGGGGCGGUCUCCUCCUAAAGAGUAACGGAGGAGCACGAAGGUUGGCUAAUCCUGGUCGGACAUCAGGAGGUUAGUGCAAUGGCAUAAGCCAGCUUGACUGCGAGCGUGACGGCGCGAGCAGGUGCGAAAGCAGGUCAUAGUGAUCCGGUGGUUCUGAAUGGAAGGGCCAUCGCUCAACGGAUAAAAGGUACUCCGGGGAUAACAGGCUGAUACCGCCCAAGAGUUCAUAUCGACGGCGGUGUUUGGCACCUCGAUGUCGGCUCAUCACAUCCUGGGGCUGAAGUAGGUCCCAAGGGUAUGGCUGUUCGCCAUUUAAAGUGGUACGCGAGCUGGGUUUAGAACGUCGUGAGACAGUUCGGUCCCUAUCUGCCGUGGGCGCUGGAGAACUGAGGGGGGCUGCUCCUAGUACGAGAGGACCGGAGUGGACGCAUCACUGGUGUUCGGGUUGUCAUGCCAAUGGCACUGCCCGGUAGCUAAAUGCGGAAGAGAUAAGUGCUGAAAGCAUCUAAGCACGAAACUUGCCCCGAGAUGAGUUCUCCCUGAGACUUAG